AGAGCGAACGCUGGCGGCAGGCCUAAAACAUGCAAGUCGAACGAGCCCUUCGGGGCUAGUGGCGGACGGGUGAGUAACACGUGGGAACGUGCCUUUUGGUUCGGAACAACUCAGGGAAACUUGAGCUAAUACCGAAUAAGCCCUACGGGGGAAAGAUUUAUCGCCAUUAGAGCGGCCCGCGUCUGAUUAGCUAGUUGGUGAGGUAAAGGCUCACCAAGGCUACGAUCAGUAGCUGGUCUGAGAGGAUGAUCAGCCACACUGGGACUGAGACACGGCCCAGACUCCUACGGGAGGCAGCAGUUAGGAAUCUUGCGCAAUGGGCGAAAGCCUGACGCAGCCAUGCCGCGUGAAUGAUGAAGGUCUUAGGAUUGUAAAAUUCUUUCAGUGGGGAAGAUAAUGACGGUACCACAGAAGAAGCUCCGGCUAACUUCGUGCCAGCAGCCGC
rnacentral:rRNA from 1 species